CCCCAUUCAGGAAGUGAUCAAAUAUGGUCGGAAACUCAUCGGAGCAACUGAUCCUCAGGAACAACCAGAGGUGAUGUAGCACUAGCAGUGGUUGUCGGAAGAAAUGUAAUUCGUGGGAGUGAUGGUCCUGAGACUGCCAAGAAUGAAAUCAACUUGUGGUUCAAGCCACAAGAAUUGGUUAGCCAUACAAGCAACGCAGAGAAAUGGGUCUAUGGAGCCAACUAAUGAGGCAUCCAUUAAUCAGUAAUUGAGG